rnacentral:rRNA from 1 species
UACGAAGGGUGCAAGCGUUAAUCGGAAUUACUGGGCGUAAAGCGUGCGUAGGCGGUACGUUAAGUCUGCCGUGAAAGCCCUGGGCUCAACCUGGGAACUGCGGUGGAUACUGGCGUGCUGGAGUGCGGUAGAGGAGGGUGGAAUUCCCGGUGUAGCGGUGAAAUGCGUAGAGAUCGGGAGGAACAUCAGUGGCGAAGGCGGCCCUCUGGACCAGCACUGACGCUGAGGCACGAAAGCGUGGGGAGCAAACAGGGAUUAGAUACCCUGGUAGUCCACGCCCUAAACGAUGCGAACUGGAUGUUGGGCACAUUACGGUGCUCAGUGCCGAAGCUAACGCGUUAAGUUCGCCGCCUGGGGAGUACGGUCGCGAGACUGAAACUC